rnacentral:lncRNA from 10 species
GGGUUUCUGCCCAGCUCACCCGCUGUCAGCUGGGGUCCUGCUCUGGUGGGAGGAAGAGGCUCAGACGCUUCCCUGCCCUCUCGCCUCAACCACCUCGAGGCAGCGGCUCCCAGGAUGUGCACUUUGACGACUAAAGCUGAGCCGGCGCCGCCACGACCUUGGGCGGGUGGUCGGCCUCUGCCCUGAGCAGGAAGUAGAAAGUCUCAGCAGACCCUUCCUGAGGGCCGAGCAACAGUGUAGUGGCGUAUUCCACAUAGCAAACAGGUCCCCAGACAGUCCCGGUGUGCACACUUCCCUGCUUCUGUUCAUGAUGUUCUCUGAACCUGGGAUCACCUUUCCCCUUCCUCUUACCUGCCCGAUCCUACUUGUCCUCCCAGAUUCAGUUUUCUGAAGCUCAGAGGGACACCUUGUAUUGCUGGAUGAUAAAAACAGGAGCAAAGUGAUGAAGUGCUGACAAGGCAACAAUAGAACAUGAGAGAUUCACUGCUGUGUAGGAAGAGAUCUUCGGUGACCAUGUAGCCUGAAGCUCUCAUUUUGUCAUCGAGGGACACCAAAACUCAGAACAGUGCUAAGCUCCUACAUCCUGUUCUGGAAGGACAAUCCUGAGCACACGAUGAGCCAUAUAAACUUCAGACUGACGCUGAGUGAAAGAAUGCUGGAAAAGCAUCACAGGCCAGGGCAGCAAAGUCUUCAAGGUCAUCCGUGCUCU